rnacentral:rRNA from 1 species
UACGUAGGGUGCAAGCGUUGUCCGGAAUUAUUGGGCGUAAAGAGCUCGUAGGCGGUUUGUCGCGUCGGCUGUGAAAACUCGGGGCUCAACCCCGAGCCUGCAGUCGAUACGGGCAGACUAGAGUGCUGUGGGGGAGACUGGAAUUCCUGGUGUAGCGGUGAAAUGCGCAGAUAUCAGGAGGAACACCGGUGGCGAAGGCGGGUCUCUGGACAGUUCCUGACACUGAGGCACGAAGGCCAGGGGAGCAAACGGG